UGCACGGACACGCCUGCCAAGUGGCGUGUCCGAGUCGACACGCGUGUCGGACACGGACACGCGUGGGACACGGGGGGAUACGUCUUGGACACGCGAAAAUCCGUGUCCGUUUUUUUUUUUGAAUUUCUUCUGUACGGACACGGUCCGUUUUGUGAUGGACACGCAAUUACGGCUUUACAAGCCCAACUUCCUCCAUUCUCUCUGACUCUCUCACAUUCUCAAUUCCUCCAUUCACAAUUCACAAACCUACUGCCUUACUCAAGCUCCCUGAGUCCCAGACCGUCAGCCACUCACCGUCGCGCCAAUAACCGUCGUCGCUUCACCUGCUGCUGCUGGUCCAGACCGUCACUCAGUUCACCAUCGCUUCGUCGCCUACAGCCUACUCUCACAGAGACACAGACUUCACUCGCCGCUCGUUGUUCGUCCUCAGCCACCACCCCAGUGUCGCCAGCCACCAGUCCACCAGACCACCACCAGGUUUCAGGCUGUCGUUGUUCGUCCUCAGCCACCAGUCCACCACCCAGUACCGUCCAUCGCCACUCGCCAGCCACCAGUCCACCACCAGGUAAGGGUUAUGUGACUUCUGUCUUCUGUACUUUGUUUUCUGAAAUUCAAUUGCUGAAUGCUGAUGUUAAUUGUGAGGUGGAGCCGUGGAGGCAGUAUCACUGUAAUUCGCAAUUGUUAAUUGUUAAAUGUGAUGUUAAUUGUUAAUUGUGAUGUUAAUUGUGAGAUGGGUUCAGCUGUCAAA